UACGAAGGGGGCUAGCGUUGCUCGGAAUCACUGGGCGUAAAGGGUGCGUAGGCGGGUCUUUAAGUCAGGGGUGAAAUCCUGGAGCUCAACUCCAGAACUGCCUUUGAUACUGAAGAUCUAGAGUCCGGGAGAGGUGAGUGGAACUGCGAGUGUAGAGGUGAAAUUCGUAGAUAUUCGCAAGAACACCAGUGGCGAAGGCGGCUCACUGGCCCGGUACUAACGCUGAGGUGCGAAAGCGUGGGGAGCAAACAGG
rnacentral:rRNA from 1 species